rnacentral:rRNA from 1 species
GACGAACGCUGGCGGCGUGCUUAACACAUGCAAGUCGAACGGAAAGGCCCUGCUUGCAGGGUGCUCGAGUGGCGAACGGGUGAGUAACACGUGGGUGAUCUGCCCCUUACUUUGGGAUAAGCCUGGGAAACUGGGUCUAAUACUGGAUAGGACCAUGCUGUAGGUGGUGUGGUGGAAAGAUUAGUUUCGGUAAGGGAUGAGCUCGCGGCCUAUCAGCUUGUUGGUGGGGUAAUGGCCUACCAAGGCGUCGACGGGUAGCCGGCCUGAGAGGGUGGACGGCCACAUUGGGACUGAGAUACGGCCCAGACUCCUGCGGGAGGCAGCAGUGGGGAAUAUUGCACAAUGGGCGCAAGCCUGAUGCAGCGACGCCGCGUGGGGGAUGACGGCCUUCGGGUUGUAAACUCCUUUCAGCCAUGACGAAGCCCUUGUGGUGACGGUAGUGGUAGAAGAAGCACCGGCUAACUACGUG